rnacentral:rRNA from 1 species
AGAGUUUGAUCCUGGCUCAGAGCGAACGCUGGCGGCAGGCCUAACACAUGCAAGUCGAGCGCCCGUAGCAAUACGGGAGCGGCAGACGGGAGAGUAACACGUGGGAACGUACCCUUCGGUUCGGAAUAACCCAGGGAAACUUGGGCUAAUACCGGAUACGUCCGUAAGGAGAAAGAUUUAUUGCCGAGGGAUCGGCCCGCGUCCGAUUAGCUAGUUGGUGAGGUAACGGCCCACCAAGGCGACGAUCGGUAGCUGGUCUGAGAGGAUGAUCAGCCUCACUGGGACUGAGACACGGCCCAGACUCCUACGGGAGGCAGCAGUGGGGAAUAUUGGACAAUGGGCGCAAGCCUGAUCCAGCCAUGCCGCGUGGGUGAUGAAGGCCUUAGGGUUGUAAA